UAUAUUUUCGUGUAAUCUGGAAAGGCGAUUUCCAAGGCUGAUAAAAGUGAGAAUGUGUUCUGAGUGGAGCCGGUGUGGAUUAGCUGCCCCAGAGCCUUCUGUCCAGGAAACGAAGGGGGAGAGAGCUGGGAGCCCACCAAGGAAUGGGACCUCCAGGCCAACCUUGGCACCUGAUGUAACAUAAAAUGCUCAUGGCGAUGAGCUCAAUCCACCUCGUGUAUGUUCCUGUUAGCGGCCCUAUCUCCUCCUCUACCCACGGAUCCCUCUGGAUCUUACUGACAGUGCCCGUGUCCAUCCCUUGGUACCCAGCCUCUUCCACCACUACUGUCUCUACUUUGCUUCUUUGACCUAGAAACAUUGAUCGUUCCAAGAGAUGACUCUCACUUCCUGGGGGUCAUUCAAAUGACGAAAGAAAUCUUUCUCUAAAGGAACAGUGAAAGGUCCCUGCGUGUGACAGUUGUCUAUCAUCCUCCUGAUCCCCAACGGAUGGAAAGAUCACAGCCUCGCCCUCAUUUUAAAGGGGGCCCCUGGGACAUGCCGCUCAGGAUGCGAACUUGAGUGAAGUAGCCUCACCAUGAUUUCCAGAAGGUACAAGAUGUGCUAACGGCACCUACCACUCUGGUACCUCAUCCCUCUUUCCUGCCACAGUACUGAAAGUGGCACCUUUUGCCUUUCCGACUUUCACAGAACCAAUCGAAGUGGAUUAUCUCUUUCAUAAAUGAAGAGCAUGAGGUACAGGGAGACACAAUUUUCUCAGGAUCACACAAGCCUAAAUUGUGGGGCUGGAAUCCACAUGCUGGUUUGAUGGGGGAAGUCCUAUGUUCUCAAGGAAAAAGCUUCCCUUUACACUGGUUUAAAGUGA